rnacentral:lncRNA from 1 species
UUUGCAUCAGCCUAGUUACCAAAAUAACCAAAAAAUUUCCUAGUCCAUUCCCUAACUAGCCCAUAACCGGAUCUCUCCCCCUCCUUUAAAGCCCCUUUUUAUCCGAGGCCUAAAAAAGGGAUCAGAUCCUUGCACCUCAGCAGAGGGCGCCGUUCCUAGGCCUUCUUCUUCCUCAUUUUCUUAGAAAUAAUCAGAGGACCCCUCUUUUGGAAAGACCCCUUGAACAACGGCGUAGCUUGCCCCCUUCUCCUCCUUUCCUUCAUCACCUCCAACCAUCAGAUCCCUUACCCAAGAACCCAGAAACCAGAGAAAUAAUCAGAUCGUUCACAUAAAAGAAAAGAGACCCCUUUGUAUUUGCUUUCUCAAAAAGAGGAGCGCCGUUUCUGGCUCUCCAUCUUCACCAAGAGAGCCGCCUGGUCCCCUCCCUUAAAAAAAUAGACCAUCGGACCCCCCAUUCCCCAAGCACACACGAGAUAGUGAAGAACCAAUUUCAAAAUUCCGAAUUCAAAACCCAGAUCUGAAAAUGAAAUUUCGAAAUUCAAAGUUCACCCUGAGAUUUAUAACUCCACAGACCUCAAAAACUAAAAAAAAUGAGUGAAAGGAAGAUCUCGAAGAGCUGUUGCCGUUUCUACUGAUUUCGCUUUUUUGGAAUUACUGGGAUUUCAAAAAUGCUGCUGUUCUGUAUUGGAAUUAUUAGUUGAGCUCUACUGCUUGUUUGCUUAAGAGGUAAACUCAAAAGCACCCCUUUGUAUUUUGUUAUAUUUAGUGAUGAAUGCUUGAACAGUGAAGUGAGUUCCAAUUGUUUGUGAUAUUGAGUUUAAUCAUUUAUUUCUCCUACUGGUUCAAUUCUGUUAGAAGCUAGAGUUACGUUUUCCUUAAUACUUCUGCAAUCUGCCAUGUUGUAUAUGGACGUUAAGCGAAAUAGACCUUCAUUUAUAAAAGAAGAACAAUAACUUUAAAUAGCAUCUAUUUGAAUCUUUAAGGUUAUGCAUUUUAGUAAGGAGGGAAUACGGUGAAGUGGAGGUUUGGUCUUCCAGAUCAUUAUCUUCAAGGAAAUCAUAAUAUUAGUUUCUGUUGCACAGUGAAGUGGAGGUUCUUAGAAGAUGAAAAUAAUUAUUUCUUGUAGUUUCUUUUCCGAUUUGAAAUCACGUUUCCCUUAUUUAAUUGUUUAUUUGUCUUGUUUUAGAUUAGUUCAAAUUAUUUAGUUUUCCAUCUUCACUGGUUUUGACAUUUUCGAUUUGGCACACUUUGGUUUGAAUGAGUUAUAUAAAGUACUGAAGAUUUUAUUUUCUUGGUUCUUUCCCUUUUGUUGCUUGUUGCUGGUUUAAAGGAGCAGGCCAAUAUUUAGUUAGUUAAGAACUUGAAAUAUGUAUUAAUUUUACAUCCUCUAAUACUUUAUCAGUGUUUGAACAAAAUAUUUUGGGCCGAAGUAUUUAUUGUUGUGCAGCCCAAUUUAGUUGGUCCAUCUUUUCUAUAACAAAUGAUAGAAUUGUAAGCAUUUAAAUUUUAUCGAAUUUAAAUUGAUAAAAUAAUGCCGACUAUGUUUUAAAUAUAUUAGUCCAAAUAAAUUUAUUGAGAUAAUAUAAUUGAAUUAUUUAUAUAAGUCCAACAUAUAUGGAUUAAAUAAAUGAGGCUUAAUCCAUUGGACUUGUCCAUUUAGUUGAGCUACAAAUAAUGAGUCCACUUCAUUAGGCCCAAUAUGUCAUCUUUCUAGAGGCCCAAGUUUGGUGCCACAUGUCAAAUAACGUGGCACGCUAAGUCAAACGAAAGAGCUAAUAGGAUCAUGCCACGUGUCAAAAUGACAAGGCAUGCUAAGUCACAUUAAAAGACUAAUAAAAUCGCGCCACUUGUGCAAGUGACAUGUUCUGGCCAAUCAAAUGCAGUCAUGUCACACUUCAAUUUGAUUGGUCGGAAAGAGUUUGUUCUUAUCAUAACUCUUCCUUUCUACAACUAUAAAUAGGGGUCUUCAUAACUCAAAAAAGACAUUAGAAGUUAUAACAAGAAACAAGAGAGAACUCGCGGAUCAAACGCUGUAGAUUUCUCUAAAAGCUACAAGCAUUCAAGUGUUCUAAGGAUUAAAAGAUCAAGACGAAGAUUCAAGAACAAGCUGCAAGCCCUUGGAUUAAAAAUACGUCAAGAUCAAGAUCAGGCUUCAAGCACUUGGAUUAAAAUAAAACAAAAUUCAAGAUCAAGCUCAAAUGCCCUUGAAUUUAUACUAGAAAAGUAGAAUAAGAGGAAUCAUAGAGAUUGUACACUCAAAUAUUCGAAAUAAAAUACUAUGAUUGUUGCGCUAUUUUUCAGUCUUGAUUUUAUUUUCUCGACGUAAUUUAUUGUCUACAAAUUCUGGCACGCCCAGUGGGACAAUCUCUACCUCUCAUCUCAACUUUUCAAUCACCAAAGUCCGAGAACAUUGAAAUGGCUUCAAAGAAAAUCAACUCCGGUUCAACUUCCACCAAAGCUGCUAACUCCAGGUUCUAUGCUGAUGUGGAAAGCAUCCUCGAUGUUACCUUUGGAAGCUUCAGACUAAUUACGAGGAGUAAAGCAAGCUCUUUAGGACAACAAGCACCCCAAGUACCGUCCGCAUCAACCCCUGUUUUUGGAUCUUCAUCCUUAAAAGGAGCAAGAUCUUCCACAAACGCAUCUGAAAGAGGAAGCGAUGUUGGUAAAAAGAUCAAGAAAACUCUUACUCUCCUUGACCUCUCCGGAUCCAAGCAAUCUGCUGUGAAGGAAGAUGAUGAUGCUUUAAGUGAUGGAUCCUCCCUACUUACACCACAUAGUGUGAACCAAUCAAGGAUCAAUCUAUGUGAAAAUCCAUGCUACCCUCCAUCGUCCACGACACUCGUGCAAGCCAUGGUGAUAAGCACUUCAUAUAUGGAGGAGCAAUUGGCAAACUUGACGGAAGCAAUCNNNNNNNNNNNNNNNNNNNNNNNNNAGUUAAAUCUCAUUGAGCUUCCGGAGAUGAAGCGACCAAAUAAAUAUGGGAAAACAAAUGACCCAAAUUACUGCAAAUAUCACCGACUUGUAAGUCACCCUCUGGAGAAGUGCUUUGUCUUCAAGGACAAAGUCAUGGACUUGGCUCGCGAAAAGAAGAUCGUGUGUGAAGAUGAGAAAACAAGCAUAAACCAAGUCUCUAUGACCUUUGGCUCAUUUAGUUCGGAUGAAUUAUGCCGUAUUAAAGAAAGUAAAGAUGAAGAAUUACUGGAGAAUGACAAAUCUAAAGUCAAUCAACCUGAGGAUGAUGAAGGUUGGACAUUGGUGACUCGUCGUAGGCGCCACAAAAGGAGCCCAUGAAAAGAAUCAAUAGAACAACCAACAAGGAAAAUAAUGGUGAAAAGACCGAGGAAAUGGAAUCCAGUUAAGCACGUAAAGAAAGCAAAAGUGGAGGUGCACCACCCUCAAAAGCCACGACAUCCAGUGACCUUGGAGGAUUUCAUGCCAUGUUGGUUCCGCAUGAAGAUUUCCCGUGAUGGUAUUGAAGCCUCUUGUUGCAAUGCUGAUAAAAGGGAAGAAAAGAGUGACGACCUAUCGUUGGUACCAUCUUCAGAAAAGCUCAUCGAGUCUAUUCCUCAAGAAGCUAAUGCCUGCGAGGAAAAAGUUACGUUCACAAAUAAUGAUCUUCUACUAGGUGACGCUCUUCACAAUCGCCCAGUAUACCUGGUUGGCUAUAUGCGCGAUGAAAGAAUAAAUCGAAUUUUGGUUGAUGGGGGAUCCUCAGUGAACAUUUUGCCAAUUCGCACUGUGAAAGAACUUGGUAUUCCCAUGAGUGAACUCUCAGAAAGUCGAAUGAUGAUCCAAGGAUUCAACCAAGGGAGAAAAGAGCCAUAUGCGCGAUCAGGCUGGAAAUCAUCAUUGAAGAUAUGCAAUCAAGUGCAUGGUUACAUGUGAUCGAUGCAAAGACUUCAUACAACAUCUUGCUUGGAAGGCCUUGGAUACAUGAGAACAAAGUGGUCCCAUCUACCUACCAUCAAUGUUUGAAAUACUACGAGGGUGAAGUUGAGAUGAAGAUAGUUGCUGAUGAUGAGCCAUUCACUGAGGCAGAGUCACACUUCGCCGAUGCAAAGUUCUACUUGACUAACCGCAUUGUGAAGGAGAUAAAAGUUGAUUACGACAUCAAAUGCAAGAAUGACGAGCCCACAACUAAAAGACCAGAGGUGACUACUCGUGAAGCCAAAGCUGUUACUGAGGAGAUACAUGCCGACGUGAAUAAAUCUCAUAAAUGGGGUAUUGCGUCUUAUGGCAAGAAAGUAAGUCUUGUGCUCCAAUAUGUCCCUAAAAGGAAGAAAGACGAGGGCACAUCAUCUAAUCUCCAAACCAAGAUGCUAAGGGAGUUAACUCUUCCGGUAAAACGAAUUGAGGUAGUAAAGUUGUCCUCGAAGCCGCUUGCAAGGUUUGUAGCCCAAAAUCAUUUACAGAAUGUGGCACUCCCUACAAAGCGAACAGACGAAGGUUUUGAUCCUAACGCUUACAAGCUAUUUGCAAAAGUUGGAUACAAUCCCAAUGAGCCAUUAAAGUUAGAGAAGCUCCCAUCAGAAGCUGCAACGAGGCAACCACGUGAAGGUCUGGGAUACAAGAAAUCGUCACUAGUGCGAAUCUCAAUAAGAAGGGCGAGUAAGAAUUAUAUCACUAUAGAAGAUGAAUCUGCCGCUUCUAACAUGCCUUCUGUUUUUGAUUGACUUGAAAAAUCAACUGUGAGAACUUUUGUAUUUGAGAGAUUGGGUCCAUUAAAGAAGGGAAAUAAGUUCCAGAGAAAUUUUCAAAGCAUAAGAACACCCGCUUCACCCAAAAUCUAGAAGAUCUCUAAGGAUUUCCAAAGUUUGGUUCCUUCUAGAAUGAGGCGACAAACAAAAUUUGUGGUUUCAUGUAAAGAAGUACAGAAGGUAAAGCCAUAUGCUGUGGUCUACACUAAGGAGCGUGACGAAGAUGAAGAAAGUGUAGGUUCUUCGAAUCAUGUUACUGUACAAGGCAAGAAUGGUGUUCCAUCUUCAAUGGAGGAUAAUGUAGAAUUGGGGGAUGUUUCACCAUGUUAUCACAUAUCCUUCAACGAUAGGGACCCUCAAGAAGAUGAAGAUACGAAAGACGCUCCACCCGAACUUGAAGAAGGAGUGAAAACGACAGUUGAUGCCUUAAAAAAAAUUAACCUUGGCACCGAUGAGGAACCAAGACUCACCUACCUAAGUGCUUUACUAGAAGCUGAUGAAGAGAGCAUUUAUAUUGAGUUACUCAAGGAGUUCAGGGAUGUCUUCGCUUGGAGUUACAAAGAGAUGCCUGACUUGGACCUGAAAGUAGCAGUCCAUCACCUUGUAGUCAAAAAUGGUGCUCACCCCGUUAAACAAGCUCAAAGGCAUUUUAGGCCGUACUUGGUUCCNNNNNNNNNNNNNNNNNNNNNNNNNNNNNNNNNNNNNNNNNNNNNNNNNNNNNNNNNNNNNNNNNNNNNNNNNNNNNNNNNNNNNNNNNNNNNNNNNNNNNNNNNNNNNNNGUUAAUGGACUUUUGGCAGAUCACCCUAUACCUGAUGAUUGGGAGCUAACUAAUGAACUACCUGAUGAGGACGCCAUGGUUAUCGAUGUUCAGCCUCCAUGGAAGAUGUACUUUAAUGGUGCUGCACAUCGCGGAGGAGCUGGUGCUGGUGUAGUAUUUGUCACUUCUCAAGGUGAAGUUCUGCCCUACUCUUUUACGUUGACGCAAAUUUGCUCUAACAACGUAGCUGAGUAUCAAGCACUAAUACUUGGGCUCGAAAUGGCUGUCGAAAUGAAGCGGUUUCAAUUGCAAGUCUUUGGUGACUCUCAGUUAGUGGUCAAUCAGCUUUUAAGUAGUUACGAGGUCAAGAAGCCUGAACUACGCCUAUAUCUUGAUUACGCUAAAAUGUUAAUGGGGUGGAUCGAUGAUGUGACUAUUCAACAUGUGCCAAGGAAAGAAAAUAAGAAGGCGGACGCUUUAGCUGCCCUAGCUUCAUCUUAACCCUUCCUGAUCAAGCGCAAUUUACUGUCUGCCAAAAAUGGGUAGUACCACUGCCAAAUGAGGCUGAAGGUGAAGAAAAUGAACUCAAGCAUCUUGUCGCUAUUUCUGAAGUCGAGAAAGAAGAAUGGAGACAACCCAUUAUUGACUACUUGUGCUAUAGGAUACUUCCAGAAAAUUCGCGGAGAAGAACUGAAAUCCGUCGUCGUGCACCUCGCUUCCUUUACUACAAAGAUACUCUAUAUAGAAGAUCAUUCAAGGGAGUACUCUUGUGAUGCUUAGGGGAAGAUGAAGCACUCCAAGCUUUGCAAGAAGCGCAUUAUGGGGUUUGUGGGUCACACCAGUCUGGACCAAAGCUCCACUUCCAUAUAAAAAGGAUGAGAUAUUAUUGGCCAACGAUGAUAAAAGAUUGCUUGGACUACGCUCGAAGAUACAAGGCUUGUCAAUUCCAUGCGAAUUUUAUUCAUCAACCUCCUGAAGUGUUGCACCCAACUGUUGCAUCCUGGCCAUUUGACACUUGGGGAUUGGAUGUUGUUGGACCACUACCAAAGUCCUCUGGCGGGCACCUAUACAUCUUGGCUGCAAUUGACUACUUCUUAAAAUGGGCUGAAGUUGUUGCUCUUAAGGAGGUAAAGAAGGAAAAUGUUGCAAGUUUCAUCCGAGUAAACAUCAUCUAUCGCUUUGGUAUUACCCGUUACAUAAUAACGGAUAAUGGCAAGUCGUUCGACAAUAGGUUGGUGAACAAGAUUUGUGAGCUCUUUGGCUUCAAGCAACGUAACUCUUCGAUGUACAAUACUGUUGCCAAUGGUCUAGCCGAGGCAUUCAACAAGACACUAUGCAACUUGUUAAAGAAAGUCAUCUCCAAAUCCAAACGAAAUUGGAAUGACCGUAUGGAAGAAGCUCUAUGGGCAUAUAGGACGACUCACCGCACGCCAACACAAGCGACUCCUUAUUCACUCGUUUAUUGAGUCGAAGCUAUCUUGCCACUUGAGCGUCAAAGACCUUCAUUAUGACUGGCUAUUCAAGAGGGCAUCACUGAUGAAGAAAAUGCUCGACUUCGAUUAGCAGAGUUGGAGGCUCUUGAUGAGAAGAGGUUGGAAGCUCAACAGAGUCUUGAAUGUUAUCAAACUCGAUUGUCUCAUGCCUUCAAUAAAAAGGUUCGCCCGAGAUCCUUUCAAGUAGGAGAUCAAGUCCUUGCCAUACGAAGACCCAUAAUUACUUCUGAUAAACCUGUAGGGAAGUUCACUUCAAAAUUGGAUGGGCCAUAUGUCGUACAAGAAGCUUACUCAAGUGGGGAUUACAAGUUGGUUGAUGCAGAUGACAUGAGAAUUGACCCUAUCAAUGGCUAGUUUUUAAAGAAGUAUUAUCCUUGAAGUUGCUAUGCUCCUUGACGCACGAGCCUAAACUGCAUGUUGCUACACUUCUGGCCCGCAUGAGUCUAAACUUUGUACGACCCCUACAAAAAAAAAAAGAGUCCGCUAGGUUGGAAACUUUGAAAGAGGCGGCCUAGGCAAAAGUUAGGACAUAAAAAAAAGGAGUCCGCUAGGUUGAAAACUUCGAAAGAGGCGGCCUAGGCAGAAAGUUAGGACAUAAAAAAAAAUCACAUAGUCUGAACUACGGUAUGACUUGAUCCUCUUCAUCGAGGCACGCAUGCAGCUUAGAGUUUCAUUCUAAGUCCAGUCACAUAAGUUCAAAAGAUACAUAUUACCCCAAUUGAAUGAAGUAUAAAGGAAUGUAAAAUCAAGCUGAAACGCCAUCUUCCUGUUGAACUUUGAUCUCAUUUGAUUUAAAGGGGGCAACCCUCCAUGGUAAAGGGAUAUCUUCAAUGGGCCGAUUUUAGGAGGAUGUCAAGUAUUUGCAUUGAAGUCCAGGGAUUCUCUGUGUCUUCAGGUUCGCCAAACCUUCAAGUUUGUUGGUCUACAAGUCCGCCCUUUGCCUUAAGGGGGGGGGGGGGAGGGGAAGAAAAGAGAGGCGUCGAAAGGAAACACAAGUAUAAGGAAAAGAUUGCUUGGCACAAUGUUUCGAAUUCAGUGAGACUUGAACCCAAGAUAUUUGUGAGAAUAUAACUCUUAAAUUUUGAUUGACGGCAAGUAAGACAUCUUCCGAUCUCGAGGCUUCCAUACCAAGAUACAAAAGUUUUGGUGAAGUCGCGCAAUCUGAAAUCGUCAGCGUGUCAGAAUUUUACGUUAAAUUUGGAAUAUUAUCUGAAACUAUCCUUAAGGCAUUAAAUUUUGCAUUUUGGAUAUGAUUUAAAUUUCGAAACUAGGUUUUCAAAAAAUCAAACGGUUCGUAGUUUCGACGUUUCUACACCAAGAUAUGAAUUUCUUUGGUGAGACUGUGCAAAUCUGGAAUUGAUAGCGUUUUGAUUGAGAAUUUUGGAUAUCUUCUAGGUCUUGAAGUCUAGUUUUCAAGAAAUUAAAGGGUUUUUAAUUUCGACGUUCCUACACUAGGAUAUGAAUUUUUUGGUGGGACUGCGCAAAUCUGGUUUUGAUAGCCUGGUGCAAUAUAAAGUUGAUUUUAAAAUAUUAUUUGGGACGAUUAUGAAGUUGUUUGAUUGAGAAUUUUGGAUAUGUUGUAGAUCUUGAAGUCUAAUUUUCAAUAAAUCAAACGGUUCAUUAUUUCGAUAUUUCUAUACCAAGAUCUGAAUUUUUUUGAUGGGACUGCACAAUUCUUGGCACGUCCAGUGGGACAAUGCUAGAGCUAAAUCUCCUACAAUGUGAUGUGGGACUUUGUUCAUCAAUUAAAUAAGAGUAAAUUUGUGACAAUGUUAGAGCUAAAUCAAAAUAUGUGCAAUAACAAGAUGCAUGACACAUACUCAAGUUCAAUUAUUGCAAUUGGAAAGAAAUAUUAUUCUAAUGGAACAAAAAGAAGAAUUUUUGGCAAAGUUCAAAAUCUCCUGCCAAGGUGACGUCAAUCAUCCAUAUUUGUAAUCAAAUGUGUUUUGGUACAAAAAUAUGGCAAACGAACAUUUCAAGUACCAAUUUGACGUCUUUAUGAUACUUCAAGCCUAGUCGUAUUGAUUUAAUAUCCCGUCAAGUCUUGAAGUAGGGGUCAUUUGUAAGCAUUUAAAUUUUAUCGAAUUUUGAUAAAAUAAUGUGGACUAUGUUUUAAAUAUAUUAGUUCAAAUAAAUUUAUUGAGAUAAUAUAAUUGGAUUAUUUAUAUAAGUCAAACAUAUAUGGAUUAAAUAAAUGAGGCUUAAUCCAUUGGACUUGUCCAUUUAGUUGUUCUACAACAAAUGAGUCCACUUCAUUAAGCCCAAUAUGCCAUCUUCCUAGAGGCACAAGUUUGGUGCCACAUGUCAAAUGAUGUGGCAUGCCAAGUCAAACGAAAGAGCUAAUAGGAUCAUGCCACGUGUCAAAAUGAUAAGGCAUGCCAAGUCACAUUAAAAGGCUAAUGAAAUCGCACCAUUUGUGCAAGUGACAUGUUCUGGCCAAUCAAAUGCGGCAAUGUCACACUUCAAUUUGAUUGGUCGGAAAGAGUUUGUUCUUAACAUAACUCUUCCUUUCCACAACUAUAAAUAGGAGUCUUCAUAGCUCAGAAAAGACAUCGGAAGUUAUAACAAGAAGCAAGAGAGAGCUCGUGGAUUAAACGCUGCAGAUUUCUCUAAAAGCUACAAGCAUUCAAGUGUUCUAAGGAUUAAAAGAUCAAGACGAAAAUUUAAGAUCAAGCUGCAAGCCCUUGGAUUAAAAAUACGUCAAGAUCAAGAGCAUGCCUCGAGCACUUGGAUUAAAAUAAAAUAAAAUUCAAGAUCAAGCUCAAAUGCCCUUGAAUUUAUACUAGAAAAGUAGAAUCAGAGGAAUUAUAGAGAUUGUACACUCAAAUAUUCAAAAUAAAAUAUUAUGAUUGUUGCAAUAUUUUUCACUCUUGAUUUUAUUUUCUUGAUGCAAUUUAUUGUCUACAAGAAUAUUAGUAAUUUUAGGCAUAAUUGUGAGUUAUAACUUUGAUUAACUGCUUUGAAAUUCUUAAUAUUACUCAUAAAGUUCUACAUUAAUUCCAUAAAUCAUGGCCUUACAAUAAUCUCAAAUUUAGGGAAAGAUAAUAAUUCAUGAAUAUCGUAGUUUGCUUUAGGCGCGUUUAAUAAUAAAUCGUCGUGACUAUGAGUACGGUUCCUGUGACGUAGUUAUGAUGCCUAUUUCCAAAUUCAGGUGUGCAUUUCAUGCGAUCCGAUCAUAACAACUUCAAACAAUAAUAAAAUACACAUGUCACGAAUCGCGAGUGCAUUUCAUGUAGCGUGGUUUGCGGUGUGUUCCAAAACGGCAAGUGUACGAUAAUCGUAACUUAUUCAAGAAAUAAUUCCAUAAAUUCCAAAAAGCGAUUUUAAAUAAAUAAAAGCGGUUACAAAGUUAAAAAUACACACUAGGUUUAAAACAUGUAAUUAAUUAGAUAAUUAGGUCAAUUUUAAUAGUUUAAGCAACCGUGCUCGAACCACGGAACCCGGAAAUGCCUAACACCUUCUCCCGGGUUAACAAAAUUUCUUAUCUAGAAUUUCUGGUUCGCAGACUUUUAAAUAAAGUCAAUUUUCCUCGAAUUGGGAUUUUAAAAUAAACCGGUGACCUUGGACACCAAAUAAACUAUUCCAAGUGGCGACUCUGAAAAUUAAAUAAAUAAUCACAUUUCGAAUAAUGUCACUUUAAUUGGAAAAAUUCCUUUAUAUACACUCUCGGGGGUUAAAAAGGAGGUGUGACAGUACCCCUUUUAGCUAUUUCCAAAAGGUACACUCUCCUUGAAGGGCCUUAAGUGAAAGGAAAUCGUUUGUAGUUACAGUCAUAUGCUUUGAGCAGCCGCUAUCCAUGUGCCAUUGUAGGCUGCUCUGUUUCACUGUUUCCUACACACGAAAAUCAGGAGUUAGACUUAGGAACCCAAACUAGUUUGAGUCCCUUGUAAUGAGGAAAUGAAUGAAUUAAGACUCUUUUGGUCCAAGUAUGCAUUAUAUAUUUUUUAUGUGAAGUACUAGGUUCCCUAGUAGUAGUUACUUUUUCAGCAAAUACUUUGUUUUUCUGUUGAGAUUGGAAUCUGGCCUUACAGGUUUUCUUAAAAUGCCCAAUAUUGCCAUAGUGAGUGCAAAGCCAUAAGUAUAGUAAUGUACUUGCUAUGAGGGUUGUAGGGAGUUUUUUCCCUAUGGAACCCGAUUCCCUACCUGUUUCCCCCAUUGUUGGUGUACAUGACAGUGAUAACAUCAGAGGACCAAGUCCACCUAAGUGAUUUUUCAAGAUCACUCUUCACUCUUCCUAGUUCUUGCUGAAGUUGUUUGUUUUUCUCAAGCUCAGCACACAAGCUAGACUUUAUUGAAUUUAACUCACUUUCAACCUUAAUGUGUGCCUUACUUGCAAUUUCCUUUCCUUUUUGAGAAUUUUCAAGCCUACUUUUCAUUUUAAGUUCCCCAAUUGUUUCCUUUAAGUUUACAACUACCACUAAUAUGUCAUCUCUCUCAUGCUCAAUGUCACUUACUCUCAGUUAAAACCUCUUUUUCUUUUUUCAGACUCUCAAUUGUUUCCUCUAAGUCUACAAUGGGAACUACCAUAUAAUCCUUCUCAUGUUCUAUGCAACCAAUUUCUUCUAUUAAAGAAUUUUUCUCAUUAAUGAGGCUAUGAUAGGAAUCAAUCAACACAUUUGCUAAUGACAUUAAUUUUUUCUUUGAGUAAGUUUUCAAAUUUCUUUGAACAUCAAGAAAGCUUCCCUCAUCUUCCUCCUUGUCCUCAUCAUCAUCAGAUUUGGCCAUGAGUGCAAAGACUGACUCAUAUUCUGAAGAUUCAUUGUUAGCAACAAUCAUAUCUUCACCUUCAGAUUCACUAGAGGAAUUUCCCCAAUCAGCCAGGGCUGGCUUCACCAUGUUGUCAGUAACAUCUCUUCUUUUGAACUUUCUAUCAAGGAUCUGGUUCCUUUUAGUGGCCUUUUCAAUGUUAGUUUUGUAAUGAUCUUACUUAUGAAGAGGAUAGUCUUUAAUGAAUUGUCCAAACUUUCCACACUUAUGGCAGCAAUCAUUUUCUUUGAAAUUCCUGCUAGAACUUCCUUUCUUUGGAAUCCCACCAUUUUUUCGAAUCAUCUUUUGGAAUCUUUGAGUGAGAUACUCCAUGUCGGAUUCAUCACUACUUGAGUCUUUGUUGGCAGCCUUGAGAACCAGGUUUUUCUCCUUCUUGGGCUCUCUUAUUUCAAGUUCCUUCUUUCUCCUCAUCUCAUAAGUUUUAAGAUUUCCAAUGAGUUCAUCAAUGGUUAGCUUCUGCAAAUCCUUGGCUUCAGUGAUAACAUUCACUUUACUUUCCCAAGAACCUGGUAAAACACUAAGUAUUUUUCGAACCAUCUUGUUUCUUGGGAUGGCUUUACCAAGGGAUUGAAGCUCAUUGAUAAUGGAGGCGAAACGUGUGUGCAUAUCUUGAAUAGACUCAUCCUCAUUCAUCUUGAAAAUUUCAUACUCAGUAGUAGGCAUAUCAAUUUUGGACUGGUUAACCUGAGUAGUUCCCUCAUGAGAAGUUUGAAGAGCUUCCCGAAUCUCUUUAGCAGACUGACAAGCUGAGAUGCGGUUGUACUCAUCUGGUCCGAUACCACAAACAAGAAUCUUCUUUGCCCUAAAAUUCUUCUCAAUAGCCUUUCUAUCAGCAUCGUUGUACUCUUUUCUUGUUUUUGGGACUGUAACUAUUCCCUCACCAACCGUUUUCAUGGGAACAAAAGUUCCAUCACAGAUUACAUCCCACAACUCUAAGUCCUCAGCCAUAAUGAAGUCAUGCAUUCUUGUUUUCCACCAACCAUAGUAUUGGCCGUUGAAUCUUGGUGGUCUGUACGUUGAUUGUCCUUUCCUCGGAAUUUGGCGGAGCAGCCAUGUAGAUCCUUUCUAGGUGUUAACCUUUUAGAAAGAACCUGCUCUAAUACCAAUUGAUUGAUACUAAGCGUCUACCAAACUAUAUAGAGAAUCAGUUCCCACAGUAAGAAACAGACUGUAAAACCAAACAGUAUAGGUAAUCAAGUUCUCUAUUUGUUCCCACAGUAAAUCGACAGUAAAUAAAGAACACAGAGGAAUUUUACGUGGAAAACUCCUAGCUCAACGGGAUUAAAAACCAUGACCUAUCCUUGUAGGAUUUUAACUUCACUACUAAGCAAUCUUUAGAUUACAACCUAUUAACCUUAAUCCCUCACUAACUUGUAACUACACUAUUACAAACCACUUUGUAAUAACUCUAUUACAAAGACUUAAUCACUUACUAACUUGUAACAACACUAUUACAAACCACUUNNNNNNNNNNNNNNNNNNNNNNNNNNNNNNNNNNNNNNNNNNNNNNNNNNNNNNGGUCCUUGAGGUUGCAGCAGCUUUGUUCUUGAGAGAGGUUGUGGCUAGCACUUGAGAAAAUAUUUUCUUUUUGUUUUUUCAAGUGUUGAAGAGAUGAAAUCCCUUGCCUCAUGUUGAUAAUAUGUGUGUGUGAUGUCAUCAAGGAUGAUGCAAUAAAGUGUCCUUUAGUUUGGCCUUAGCAAGCUACAACUAUGCUGCUGUACUGCUGCAGACGGUACAGUGCAGCAGCCUCCCAGACAGUAGAGUUGACUGUACAACGAUAAGGGAAACUGAUCCCUAUCUGUUCCCUUUGUUGUUUCCUUAUCUGAUUUCAUUGAUAAUUGAACCAGACAUCUGACUAGUUAUUCUAAAUGCAAGAAAACUUAAUUGUAUCAGAUUCCUUAUCUUGUACUCUCAUGAAGUAAGUUGUUUUACCUUUCUUGAUUGUAUUUAUACAUGUGUGACAUCACUUACAAAGAUGUAAGCAAGGUAGGUAAAAAGUCUUCCAUAGAAAGUUGACUGCUGCACUGUUCCUGCAUAGUAACGUGUGCAGGCAGCAACUUUCCAACUUGAGAGUUGACUUAAUACAGUCUCCUCGGGAACUGGUAGGGACCUGUUCGCUCAGCUAUUCCUUCCACUCUGGAUAGUUGAGUUAUAUCCCACGCUGGAUCCCAACCUGAAACUUUGUGAUCUUAAGGUCUUGUAAAUGUGUAACAGGUUCCUUAUCUGGUUCUGAAUGGUAAGUUUGUUAGAUCAUCAAAACCUAAAGUAAAGUAGUUAUGCCCAAAGUACUUGUAACCUAUCAAUUUCCCCAUUUUUGAUGAUGACAAACUUAGAAUUGAUAUUCUUCAUGAGAACUGGAUCUCCACAUUGUACCCCCUAUGAAUCAGCCAUAUCCCCCAUAAGAACCAAACCUAAGGAACUGAUCAUAACUGGUUUCUCAAGACUGUUACAAAUCAUCAAAACUCAAAAUACCAUAACUUAUCAAGCAUUAUCACUUGCUCUUCUACCUUUGAGGAAGCUAGAUUGGUAAGGUCCAAUGAGAUCGGGCAGGAAAGGUUUAAUGCGUUUAACGAUGAUUUUUGUAACGACUUUGUAGAUAGUAUUGCAUAGACCUAUUGGUCAAAAGUUUCUUAAAUUAUUUGCAUUUUAAAAUUUUGGGAUUAGGCAUUAGAGAGUGUCAUUAAGAGUUUCAGGGAGUUUUUGCAAUCUAAAAAUUUGGUGACAGUACCUGAGCGCAGAUUCUCCUACUAUGGACCAGUGUUUUUGAUAAAAGAAAGGGUGAAGGCCAUCUGAGCCUGGUGCCUUAAAAGGUUUAAAGGAGAAUAGCGCUUGGAUGACCUCUUGGUGAUGGAGAGGGUUGUUUAGAGGUGAUAAAUCUAUCAGGUGGUAGCUAGUGGGGUGAUAUUAGACUAGAAACCCGUGUUUUAGCCGUAGUAUUACAUUCCAAUUACUGCAUUUUUAUGCGUGUUGAGCUCAAAUGAUAGUGAAUUACACUUAGUACGUGUAUUAUGUCUUGCAGGAAUCCUGAGCUCAAAAGUUAAUUUGGAGCUAAAUUGAUCAAUUUGGAGCUUUGAAGUCUGAGUAAAAGCCCAAUACAUUAAGCCGGGAUCGUAUUCGGAGGUCGUGUACCAUGUCUGGAUGUCAAAAGAGGACAAAAUAAUUUCACUGCCGCGCGCAUGGGGCGCCACAAGUUGCGGCGUAGCAGUGUAAAAGUUGGUCUGAGUAUGAGUAGCUAAAAUAUUUGGGAAAUUGUUACUAUGAGUAUGAGUAGCUAAAUACCUAAUCUAAGGUUUUGAUGGAACCUAUUGAAGGAUGAUUUUCUCAUUACGUUAAUAUAGAUUUGCCAUAUAGUAUUCUCUCUAUUUGUUCAACUAUAUGCUUAUUGCUGUUGAUUGAAGGACCC